GACAGAGGGUGCAAACGUUGCUCGGAAUCACUGGGCGUAAAGGGCGUGUAGGCGGAUAGAUAAGUCGGGCGUGAAAGCCCCAGGCUCAACCUGGGAACUGCACUCGAAACUGUUUAUCUUGAGUGCCGGAGAGGAAAGCGGAAUACCUGGUGUAGAGGUGAAAUUCGUAGAUAUCUGGAGGAACACCAGUGGCGAAGGCGGCAUCCUGGACCGGCAUUGACGCUGAGGCGCGAAAGCUAGGGUAGCAAACAGG
rnacentral:rRNA from 1 species